CCUGACGCAGCGACGCCGCGUGAGUGAGGAAGGCCUUCGGGUCGUAAAGCUCUGUCAAGAGGAAAGAAGUGCAUAAUGGUUAAUACCUGUUAUGUUUGACGGUACCUCUAAAGGAAGCACCGGCUAACUCCGUGCCAGCAGCCGCGGUAAUACGGAGGGUGCAAGCGUUGUUCGGAAUCACUGGGCGUAAAGGGCGCGCAGGCGGUAUGGUAAGUCAGAUGUGAAAGCCCACGGCUUAACCGUGGGAGGGCAUUUGAAACUGCCAGACUUGAGUACCAGAGGGGAAAGUGGAAUUCCAAGUGUAGCGGUGGAAUGCGCAGAUAUUUGGAAGAACACCGGUGGCGAAGGCGGCCUUCUGGGCCACAACUGACGCUGAGGAGCGAAAGCUAGGGGAGCGAACAGGAUUAGAUACCCUGGUAGUCCUAGCCGUAAACGAUGGACACUAGGUGUGGGGGGAUUUGCCCUCCGUGCCGCAGCUAACGCAUUAAGUGUCCCGCCUGGGGAGUACGGCCGCAAGGCUAAAACUCAAAGGAAUUGACGG
rnacentral:rRNA from 1 species